rnacentral:rRNA from 1 species
CUACGGGAGGCACCAGUGAGGAGUUUUGCGCAAUGGGGGAAACCCUGACGCAGCAACGCCGCGUGAGCGAAGAAGGCCUUCGGGUCGUAAAGCUCUGUCAAGUGGGAAAAACGUUUUCCGGUCAAUAGCCGGGAGAUCUGAUGGUACCGCUGCAGGAAGCACCGGCUAACUCCGUGCCAGCAGCCGCGGUAAUACGGAGUGUGCAAGCGUUGUUCGGAAUUAUUGGGCGUAAAGAGCGUGUAGGCGGUUUGGUAAGUCAGAUGUGAAAGCCCUGGGCUCAACCUGGGAAGUGCAUUUGAAACUGCUUUACUUGAGUAGGGGAGAGGAGAGUGGAAUUCCUGGUGUAGAGGUGAAAUUCGUAGAUAUCAGGAGGAACAUCUGUGGCGAAGGCGACUCUCUGGACCAAUACUGACGCUGAGACGCGAAAGCGUGGGUAGCAAACAGGAUUAGAUACCCGGGUAGUC